rnacentral:misc_RNA from 1 species
UUUUAUUCAGAACUCAUGAUUAUUUGUCAUGUACAAGAAUGCAGAAAGAAACAUUUCGGAGGAGGAACGCCUAUGUCAAAAUGUACAUAUGAAUUGUAUCUAAAUAAUAUCAGUUCAAAUCUUCUCAAUCCUCCGCGAUGUCAAAACUUUCAGAUGAUCCGCAUAGAAACUCAAAUCAGUUCUCCAUGUACAGUUCUUGAGCCAUCUCAAUCUAACAGAAACUAUGUUUCAAAGCUGGUUGUACUCACUACUGCUACUUCUGUCUAAUUGUUUGCUGUGAUUUUUGCUAAUAAUAGAAACUGAACCUACUGCCGCCUCCAUUUAAUUCCCAACUGUACAAAGAUAUCUGAUCACAUAAACUGAGCUUGAUGCUUAGCUGAAACCAUCUUUCUUAACUUCCGAAAUAACUAUCAUAUAUCGAAAGCCGAUCAAAUGCAUCAAAGUUGGCUUUGAAAUCAACCAAUUGGCUCUGAAACUG